UCAGAAAUCAUUAAUACUCUGAAGGCACUAGAUCUCAUUUGAUCUUGGAAGCUUAGCAAAAUCAGGGCUGGUUAGUACUUGGGUGGGUGACUGCCAAGGCAUACCAGAAGCUAUAAGCC
rnacentral:rRNA from 1 species